CCAGCAGCUGCGGUAAUUCCAGCUCCAAUAGCGUAUAUUAAAGUUGUUGCGGUUAAAAAGCUCGUAGUUGGAUUUCUGCCGAGGACGACCUACCCACCUAAGGGUGCGCGUCAGUGUUGACCAAGGCAUCCUCCUGGAUAUAUGUGAACUUCACUGUUCAUGUAGCUCUAGGACUUUUACUUUGAGGAAAUUAGAGUGUUUCAAGCAGGCGAUUGCCUUGAAUAAUUUAGCAUGGAAUAAUAAUUUAGGACUUCGGUUCUAUUUUGUUGGUUUCUAGAACUGAAGUAAUGAUUAAUAGGGACAGUCGGGGGCAUUCGUACUCAACAGUCAGAGGUGAAAUUCUUGGAUUUGUUGGAGACGAACUACUGCGAAAGCAUUUGCCAAGGAUGUUUUCAUUGAUCAAG
rnacentral:rRNA from 1 species